AGACAAUGAUGAGUUCUACUUCUGGUCCGUGUUUUUGAACACAAUGAUAUCUGUAGAAGUUCUGAGUUA